rnacentral:rRNA from 1 species
UACAGAGGUCUCAAGCGUUGUUCGGAUUCAUUGGGCGUAAAGGGUGCGUAGGUGGCGCCGUAAGUCGGGGUGUGAAAUCCCGGGGCUCAACCCCGGAACUGCAUUCGAUACUGCUGCGCUAGAGUACUGGAGAGGAGAUUGGAAUUUACGGUGUAGCAGUGAAAUGCGUAGAUAUCGUAAGGAAGACCAGUGGCGAAGGCGGAUCUCUGGACAGUUACUGACACUGAGGCACGAAGGCCAGGGGAGCAAACGGG